rnacentral:rRNA from 1 species
AACGAACGUUGGCGGCGUGGAUUAGGCAUGCAAGUCGAGCGAGAACUAACCUUCGGGUUAGGGACAGCGGCAGACGGCGUAGUAAUACUUCGGAACGUACCCCCUAGACCGGGAUAGCCACGGGAAACUGUGAGUAAUACCGGAUAAUCCAGUGAUGGCAAAGGUGUAAGUCCGCUGGGGGAGCGGCCGAAGCGGGACUAGCUUGUUGGUGGGGUAAUGGCCCACCAAGGCUUCGAUCUCUAGGGGGUGUGAGAGCAUGGCCCCCACGACUGGGACUGAGACACUGCCCAGACACCUACGGGUGGCUGCAGUCGAGAAUCUUCCACAAUGGGCGCAAGCCUGAUGGAGCGACGCCGCGUGCGGGAGGAAGGCCUUCGGGUUGUAAACCGCUGUUGGAGGGGAUGAAGAUGCAUGGGGCACACUCCAUGCGUUUGACAGAGCCUCUGAGGAAGCGCGGGCUAAGUACG